rnacentral:siRNA from 1 species
CAAGCCAAUAUUCUGAUCCU